GCCGUGCUGGCCUUUGCUGGGUAGCCCUCUCUCUCCUUUACUGGGCUUAACACCCGAGAGAACCAACUUUUCUUCUUAGGAACAGAUGAUGAGCACUUAACCUAGGGCAAACUUCUUCCCGGAUGUCCAACAAUUUAUUUACAUGCAUUGAAGAGAGAUGUAUGUUACAUGGAUGCCCCGUCCCCCGUGCCCGGUGAUGUGGCUAUAAUCUCUUUUUUAAACAUGUUAUAUUGUGCAUGCCCUAAUAAAAAUGUUAUAUAUUCAUAUAGUGACUAAUUUUCACAACAUGUAAGUUACUUCUUUUUUCAACCACUCAAUCUAUAGUGGGUGAAAAAAAGGGCUCGUUUAGCUGGCUUGUUUUUCCUUUUUGCGAGUAAACAACAAGAGAAGACUACUACUGUGAUGCAUUAAUUAGAUAAUUGGAGUUGUAAAUAAAGAGACUGUACAGGGGGAGAAUAUUACAAUGUCAAUCCAUGAUUGUCAAAUUGGAUGGUCUUGCACUUUUACCCUAUGCAAAAGUAAACUCUUCCCUCAAAAGUAGCUUUAAAUAGCUGAAAGAACAUUGAAUAUUGUUGAAGAUGAGGUCAUUAAUUUCUUCAUUUCCGUAUGUUUCGAAAUCCAACAGCAAUUACAAUUCAAUGAAAAAUGGGUAGCCAAAAUUGUGCUUUGCUGUUAUCAUCAUAUUCAUAAAUUCCUGAUUUGUUAGUCAAUGGAUGCUAGUGAAAGACACGUCGAGUGACUGUACUCCGACUACGAUAUUUAUAGGUAUGGGGAAGUUGGAAACAAGGUAUAUGCGAGAAUGUAUCAAGAAGACAAAGAACACAAAUUUAUACUAGUUCGGGUCCUCAUGGAGAGUAAUAACCUGCUCUAGUUUAUAUGUAUAUAUGAAUAGGAAUACCACACAAACUACAAAGAAGGAGCAGAUGUCUAGUCUAAUCUACCGACUAGACGCUAUCCAAAAUAGCCCGACGAGAUCUAUUCGAUGAUUAGGGUGUUGGCUUGCUCCGGUUUGUGUCUUGAUGUUUAACUUGACACCCCUUCUAGGAAAGGGCCUUGUAUUUAUAGCUUGUAACUUGAAGAACUAGGGAAAAAAUACGGUCUAAGAGACCUUAUCUUUCCCGACUAAAACUCUGACACCUUCUAUUCCGGGAAUAUAUUAUUUUUGGAGAUAAGCCAUAUCUUAUUAAUUAAAUGGCACCUACUCGUAUAUUACUGGGUAUAUGGUACGGUCAUAUUCCACGAACCCAUGUAUUGGAGGUGUGCCUUAUCCUUGACUCUGACAAGACCACCAUUGAUUUGCGAAAGGACAGGUGACGAAAAGAUGCAUGCAUCUUCUGGGAGAGAGGAAUUGUAGAGCACAUAGCUAAGUCCAGAGUUAACAUUGAUAUUCUUCCUCCACAACAUAUCCCUUGUGUAUAAACGAUCCACCAGAAGAAGUCAUGGAAAACUUUUAGCUUCAUCAUACACUUGCUCUUCCAGAUGUAAGUGAGAGGUAAGUCCGGUUGGAUAUGAGCAAAAAAAGAGUGAAUAAACUUAUUUUGUUUCAAAGGUUGGACAAUUCCAUUUGUAACACCACUGAUCAUCUGAGUUGCCAAAGUUUUAGUUUGGAGACUAGGUCGUAGAAUUUGCCAUUCUUAUACUGCUUGAGUGGAUAGUGGUAGAUAAAACAACUCAUUAAGAUUCUGAUUAUUAUGAAAGCUGAAAACUGAAAGAUCUUCAUUUCUUGAAUAAGGGAAUAGAGUUUGAAAAUGAUCAUCUAAUGGGCUUCCAUUUCAAUUCCAAUUGUCCUUCCAGAAUGGAGCAGUAUCUCCACUUUGAAUUUUUAUAACUAUAAUUGCUCUGAAGAGUAUCGUUAACCCGGAAAAUGUCUUUCUACCAUAAUGAUCCUUUUUCUUUUCAAGCUUGUGCGUAGAUCUGCAUUGUGGUAGUAUUUGUUCCAAAUGAGCUACCCAAGAUUGUUUCAAAAUCUCUCCAAUUUAAUUUUGAAUGAAAUUUGCUUUCACCAUAUCUUGGCUCGUUAGCUCAUUAACAAAAAUAGUCUCAAAUGAUAGUAAAAUAUAACAAACUAUAAAAAGUUGAUUUCGAGGAAAGGUCAAUGGUCAAAUCAUUUUUCCCCACUCACCAAACAGAUCACACUUUUAUAUAUCCUUUUUGUGAAACAGAGGAUUCCAAACAUUAGAAGUUUGUACCUUGGCGAGCUCCUACAAAAAUACAAAAAAUAUAUAUACAAAUGUAAUAGAAUAUAAAUGAACCCACAUAAAUAAAAAAAGAAAAAGAAAGUCACAACAUUUUUUUUGCUAAAAUUCUACUUUAAAUUUAGGCUAUCGUGUGGUUCAGUUUAAUGCGUCAAUUUCAGGCAUUUUUUAAUGUUGCUAACACUCGGCACUAGUACAGUUUGUUGAUAACAAAGUGAUCAAUCAGUCCGCCGAUUCACCUCUAUCCCUCGCACGCACAUUUUUGUUCUUAUCGUAAGAUUGAUCUCGCGUGUAUAUCACCGCGCGCAACGUACGUUACUAAUUGCCAGCAACACACGGUCGCUAAUCACAAUAUAUAUUACAUAUAUAUAUGUUGUGUUCUAUCUCGUUUUAGUUCAUCCUAACCUUACCUACCCAAUGAUAGAUAUAUAAGUCCUUGCAUUGGCGUCCAUUACCGGUUCAUUGACUAAACACAGGGAAAAAUAUGUGUUUUUCGCCUGUGCAAAACAUCAAUCACUCCAUUUUAAUCAUAUCACUCCAGCCUCCGGGAAACGCAUGCAUUUGAUAAUCCGAUUUAGUACGAGGCUACGAGCCUAGGAGAAUGGCUUUACAGCAAUGCCGCCUAAUUAAGUACACGGUGGUGUGGAACACGAGCUAGCAUCGCGUCAAUUCUCUCUUCUGUUUGCUGAUAUGAAGGGAGUACUCACUCCCUCCCAAUAUAAAUGCAACCAAUAUGAAUGUAACCUAAAAUAGAUAUGUUACAUAUGUUAGGACUACAAAUACAAACAGUCUGUUCCGAUUCAUAAUCCUAAAAUAUAUUAUAUCUGUCUUAAGUUAUAUAUAUUUAUAUUAGGAAUUCGAAGGAGAUAUCUAGUACAAAGGAGCAUCCAUCCAGCAACAGGGACGCAGCCUCUGAUGAUGCAGCACCUAGCAAUUGCACCUGCACGGCUCCACCGUCAGUCCAAAAAAUAAUCCUAUGAUGUGAAGAUUUACUGUUAGUUCUUCAUUGGUUUUUUUAACACAUUAACAGUGUGAGGAAGAUAUGACAGCUGAAGUGAUGAUCAUCGAGUUUGUCCAGCAACGAGAAAUAUAUCAACAGAGGAUCAGUUGUUACGAUUCACUGAAGGGACGCCGGAUCAUUGUAAGUGUAAUCAUCCUAGUAACAAUUUAUGGAAGUGACAGUCGAGGCUCCGAUAAUUGCCAUUGCACAAUGUGCCAUACUGACGUGAUAAAAAAAUUGGUAGAAUUGGCCUGGGUUAUAGUUUGUAUCGAAUAUGUUUACUCGAUUAUAAAUUAGGAAUUGGAGUUUUAAUAGAUAUAAAAACAAUAGUAAGUCAGACUAUGGCUCUCUCUUAAAUAGAGAGACACACCUAUUGUAACCGUAUAGUGCUAGUAAAAUAAAUAGGUGAGUGACGAUUGGUCAGCAGCCUAGCCAGUCGAUGGUCGACGUGGAUACUCUAAUAUGAUGUAAUUAUAUUAUAUUGGGUAGGAGCGCCGUAAUUAGUGUUAUGGGGACAUAGGUGUUUUAGCUGAACCUCAUUAAUAAAUAUUGUGCUUAUCGGUAUCGUCAUCAUAUUAGGACCCUCUAUGAUGUUCUUCUGCGUUUGGUUACCGAUGUGCUAUGGGGUUGGUUUUAUAACAAGUGGUACCAGAGCUUGUGGGAGAUGUAUAUAUAGAGGCACGAGAGAUGAGUCCCACACCACAACACUUUGUAUAUGUUGUCUUGGGAGGGACAUGAUGCAAGGUUGGAGCACGGCAACGAUUAACGGAAAUUGUUCGGUGGAAUCGAACACUUCUAGCAAUGGUUUAACCAUUCGAUGGAUACUUUUAAUUGGGAGGCGACUGGACAUGGUGCUCGAUUUAAAGGUGGCGGACGCGAUUGGCGAUCCAAUAGGUGAAGAAGAAGGCAUGAUAAUUUGUUGGACUAAAUUGAUGGCGGUUAAUCGAAAAUUGGAGCGCGGGUGAAACCUUUCCUAAGGGAAAGGUGCCGACAACAGGACGAACUGCCGCAAAACUGAUACACAUGGGCAUGGCAAGUACGGAACAAUUAGAAUGAUGGGCGUAGGUCGGACUUAAAUGCACAGAUUGUUUGGAUUGGGCACAGGGAAAUGUGCAUCCUGCUAUGGGCCAUGACGUGCACAUAUGUGCAUGUUGGGCCAUCAUUUGCGCAUGCAGCACAUGCAUAACAAUUAACAUGGGGCAUUACACGCAUACGGCAGGGAAGCACAAACGUGUGGAGCCUCAGUUUGCACACACACGCGCGCGUCCCUCUGAUCAGGCCGACAACGGAGAUUGGAAGGCCGUACGUGCAUGUUUGGUGUAGCUGGUAUCUUGGAGAGUUGGAGGUGCCGAGAUCACGGAGGACUCGAUCUUGGCCGGGUUGGCGCGCUUGCGGUGCAGAGGCUACGGACUCGUCCGCUCGUGUCCUCUAUCACAGCGCACGGGGCACGGAGAGGUGGAUCGACUCAAAGUUCAACUCGAACACGAGAAGGGCCAGCGAUCGAUCGUUACUCCAUGGUGUGAUGUGAGUUCGAUCAUCGGCCUAUACGAUCAGCAAAGAACGGGAUUGCAAAUCAUCAAGCAAAUAGUACAAGGAUUGUGAAAUCAUGGUUUAAUAGAAAAAAAUAAAGCUUCCUAUAAGUGAAAUGAAGAAGUAAUUUUGACAUUAGUGCUAAUAACAAUCAAUUGUACAGAUUUUUUUGUAAAGUAUAUAAGGAGAAAUUUGAAUACCCUUAGAAAGGAUGAUUUUGGGCUCAAGAAUGCUUGUUUUUACACAAAUAAUAUCACAAAACACAUAAUAUAGCUAUGAAAUCAUAAGUUCCAAAAAAUUGGGGUACAACUAUAGCUCAUGUUUCAUUGGCACACCCAUGGUUUCUAAGGAACACCCGUAAUCAGUGUCCCGAGAUAUAAAUUUUAGCACAAUCUCAUUAGUAAAUAUCAUAUCUCGAUGUGGUUAAUUAUCUUGGUGAAUACUUAUGACGUAUUUUCGUGUUUAGUUACCGAUGUUCUAUAAUAGCUCGCAUGAGGUUGGAAGUAAUCAGGCAACAAAAUUAGUGUUCUUCAAGCAAGAAUGGUUGUCAGUUUAUCUCACUAUGUGAAGAUCGAUCUGUGAAACUAAAAUGAGACUUAACAUUAACUCCAAAUAGUUGCCCUUCAUGAUUGAUGAUGAGUCUAGCUACGUACUGUACUGCCCAGGCUGACAGCUGAGCGGUCACAAUCAAACUAGCAAUCACCACCAAUUCCGUGCAGACGUGGACGAAGAUGAAAAAACUCGAGCUCGCUAGCGAAGUCCAUUCCGACUCGCCAGCCGUCUAUAAAAGGCAGGCGUUACGCGCUAUCGUCCCAUCUCGAAAUCAAGCACGAGGACUCCCAAGUCCAGCCAUGAAAGCCACGACGACAGCAGUGGCCCUCCUCGUGGCCGCCGCGGCCAUGGCGGCGCAGGUAGUCGCCGAGCAGUGUGGCUCGCAGGCCGGUGGGGCGCUGUGCCCGAACUGCCUCUGCUGCAGCUCCUACGGCUGGUGCGGCUCCACUUCCGACUACUGCGGCGACGGCUGCCAGAGCCAGUGCGACGGCUGCGGCGGCGGAGGUGGCGGCGGUGGCGGCGGGGGCGGCGGUGGAGGUGGGGGUGGCGGCGCGGUGGAGGCGGUCGUGUCGAAGGAGCUCUUCGAGCAGCUGCUGCUCCACCGCAACGACGCGGCGUGCCCCGCCAGAGGGUUCUACACCUACGACGCCUUAGUCACCGCCGCCGCCGCGUUCCCGGACUUCGCCGCGACGGGCGACGACGAGGCGCGCAAGCGUGAGGUCGCCGCGUUCCUCGGGCAGACCUCCCACGAGACCACGGGCGGGUGGGCGACCGCGCCCGACGGCCCCUACUCGUGGGGCUACUGCUUCAAGGAGGAGAUCGGCGCCACGGCCUCCUACUGCGUCCCCAGCGCCGAGUGGCCGUGCGCCCCGGACAAGAAGUACUUCGGCCGCGGCCCCAUCCAACUCUCCUAGUAAGCACAUCAAAGCUAGGUUCAAUUUUUUUUAUCAAAUUCUCAGCGCGAUAAGAAUGGUUUUGAACUUUUGAUCGAUCGAUCUCUCAGCAACUACAACUACGGGCCGGCGGGAGAGGCCAUCGGCGAGGACCUCCUGAACAACCCGGAGCUGGUGGCGUCGGACCCGGUGGUGUCGUUCAAGACGGCGCUGUGGUUCUGGAUGACGCCGCAGUCGCCGAAGCCGUCGUGCCACGACGUGAUCACGGGGCAGUGGACGCCGAGCUCGGGGGACAUCGCGGCCGGGCGGGUGCCGGGGUACGGCGUGAUCACCAACAUCAUCAACGGCGGGUUGGAGUGCGGGUUCGGCCCCGACGACCGGGUGGCGAACCGGAUCGGCUUCUACCAGCGCUACUGCGACGUGCUCGGCAUCGGCUACGGGAGCAACCUCGACUGCUACGACCAGAGGCCGUUCAACAGCGGGUUGACGGCGGCGCAGUGAACAGCUAGUAGCUUCGCCGGCGGCGACUGGCUGGCGGUAAAAUAAGAGUGCUUUGCCACUCACUCCCUGUACGUGUCGUCGUACAAGUACGUACUUACAACGUACUAGUAUCGAGUCGAAGUAUGGUGUGUCAUAAACUUGUAACCGGGCUGAAACCGAUAUAUAUGCAUGUGGCACAGUGUCAGUCCAAUAUUUCAGAAUAAAUAAAUGGACAACAAAAUUCUCUUUUAAUCAUGCAGAAAAACUCUUAUAUCGAAGAAGCACUUCUACAUAAAUCGUCGCUGGUGCCGGUUAGGAACACACGAUUUUUGCAUGUGGUUGGGCCAGCCGCAUGCGUGAAAUGGUCUGCAAAGAUCACCAUCUUUCCAUGCGGCCAGGGCACCCGCAUGCAAAAAUCCGCGACUUGCCCCCGCUCCCGCCGCCGCCGCCAGCUCCCGCUCCUGCCGCCCUCGAUCACGAUGGCCGCUCCCGCCUCUGGAUCUGGGUGGGACGAGGCCUGCCGCCACCACCCGCAUCGUCGUCGUCGUCGCCCACUCGUCGUCGUCGCCGGAGUCGGAGACGCCGCCAGAUCCACGCGAGGGAGGGCCCCCUGCGUCGGAUCCGCGCCGCCCAGCCAUCGCUCGCUGCCAUCCGCUGCCGCCGCUCACUCCCGGCGCCGGUUGCUCACUCCCGCUGCCGCUGCUCGCUCCCAUCCGCCACCGCCGCCAGAUCCGCGCGAGGGAGGGCCCUAUGCACCGGAUCUGCGCCGCCCGGCCGUCGCCCGCCGCCGCUCUCUCCCGGCGCCGGCGGCUCCCAUCCGCAGCCGCCGCUCGCUCCCACCGCCUCCUCCUCGUCGCGGCCCACGCCGCCCGCUGCUCGGCCGCGUCGCCCGCCGCCCGCUCCCAUCUGCCGCCACCGCUCGCUCCCACCGCCUCCUCCUCGUCGCAGCCCCCGCCGCCCGCCGCCCGCUCCUGCCACCUCCUCCUCGGCCGGGCGUAGAUCGAGGAGAGAAAGAGAGAGAGAGGAAGAGAGAGAGUGAGAGAGAGGAAGAGAAAGAAAAAUAGAGGGGGUGAGAUAUCAGAGAGAGGAGAGGAGAAGACAUGAAAAUUUUUGAAGUGGUGAGGAGGGAAAAAACUAUUGAUGUGAAGAUAUUUUUACAUGUGGUCCACUUAAAAUAGCCACAUGCAAAAAUAGAUUUUUACAUGCGCCUCCUUAGGUGGACCGCAUGCGAAAAUAGUUAUUAAAAAUUAAUUUAAAAAUGUGAGAAGUUCGAAUCAAAUUUUAUGAUAUUAAAUGAACUUAUAUGAAAAUGUUGCCAAAAACAAAGUUGUAGAACUCGUUGAGAUCUACCAAUUUUCUUUUAGUCAUUUCUUCAUUCGAGUUUGAUUGAACUAUAUAAAAUUUAAAUUUUAAAAUAUAAGAAAUUCAAAUAAUUUUUCAGGUAGUAAAUGAUUUCAAAUGGAAAAGUUGUCAAAAACAAAGUUGUAUAACUUAUUAAGAUCUACAACUUUUGUAUUGGUCAUUUUUCUAUAUGACUUUGUUUGAACAGUUUGAAUAUGAAUUUUAAAUUAUAACAACUUCAAACAACAUUUUCAAAUACUAAAUGAUUUUAACUGAAAAAGUCGUCAAUAACAAAGUUGUAUAACUCAUCAAGAUCUAUAACUUCUAUUUUGGUUAUUUCUUUAUUUGACAAAGUGAUUUGUAAGAUUGUUCACAAAAUAUACAUCUCUUAAAAACUAUACAAGAGAUGUAUAUUUUGUGAACAAUCUUAUAAAUCACUUUGUUGGAUGAAGAACUUAUAGAUCUUGAUGAGUUAUACAACUUUGUUAUUGAUGACUUUUUUAGAUGAAAUCAUUUAUUGCUUCAAAAUAUUAUUUGAAAUUUUGAAAUUAAAAUUUUUAAUUGAUAAAACAAAGUCACAAGAAAAAAUAGCCAAUAUAAUACCAAUAAGAACACAAUAACAUGAUAGAGCAUGAUUUUAGAAACAUUUAGAAAAAAUAUCAUCCAAUUUGAAGUUCAUAUGAGUGAGAUACACUAGUUUCAAAUUUUUCAAUUUUUAUUUUCACAUACGGCUGCUUAAGUGGCCCGUAUGAAAAAAAAAUCAAUUUUUCCAUGCGGGCGCUUAAGUGAGCCGCAUGCAAAAAUGAGCUCAUUUUUGCAUGCGGCCCUCUUAAGAGGCCCGUAUGGAAAAAUCGAUUUUUCCAUACGGGUCACUUAAGCAGCCGUAUGGGAAAAUGACCCUCAAUUUUUGUAGACGCCACUAGUUAUGGUCCAUUUGCAAAAAUCAUGGGGUCUCGUACAGAAAAAUCACUUUUGUAGUAGUGGAACCCACAAAGGUGUCGGUUGAAAAACCAGCACCUAGAUGUCGGCACUAUGUGGAGGAGAAAUAGGAGCCGGUUUAGGAACCGGUACGUUUGAGGUUCCACGAAUAAAAAAAAUCGUCUCGAUUCAAACCGAUGCAUCAAUCCGCUCUCCAUCAUCCUUAUCAAACAAACACAAUCAAAAUCAACAUUGAAAUCAUCCAAUCACAAAAAUAAAGAAAAUUGCAAACACAAACACAUGCCACCAUCGCUGUCGUGGAUCCGGCCACCCAGUCGCCAAAACGUCAAUCCGACUACCCCCACCGUCGUGGUGGCUUGUGGCGGAAAGGAGGCCACACACGACCACGACGGAGAAGGCCGCGCCCCACCGCAGCGGAGAGGAGGAGAGCCGUCGGGGAGAAGGAGAGGAGGAGAGUUGCGUUGUAGGGAACCCGCCACCUCCCCUCCUGCCAGAUUUGGCGAGGAGAGAGCUGCCAUGGGGAGUCCGCUGUCGUUGCCCUGGGGAGCCGUCGCUGCCCGUGGGGUGCCUCAAGAGAGAGACCGAGAGAGAAGCACCCAAAGAGAGGUAAAAUAAAGAAGAGAGAGAGAGAGACCGCGAGUUGAUAGAGGCGACCGCUCCUCCCCACUCCCCAGCCUUAUCCUCUCGACCGCUCCUCACCGCUCACAACUCGGCUCAUGGCUCAAUUUUUACGGGUGUUGGUCUUUUAAAAAACCGGCACCUAUAUAUAUUAUAGGUAUUGCUUUUUAAAUUGCUGGCACCUAUGAUAAAUUAAAGGCGUUGGUUUUAAAAACCAACACCUAUAGUAUUGGGAUCGGUUUUUCUAUAGAAGCGACACCUAAGUCGCUUAAAUGUGUCGGUUUAUCUUGGCUUUUUUUCGCUUACGCGCAAAAGGAUUACACGUCAAUAUAUUAGAAGAAAAGAGUUUUAGUUACACAACGCAAUCAACCAGAUCGGCCUAUGCCAGGGGAAGGGAGAAAAGGCAAAAUAAAAAACCGAAGCUUAGAAAACUACGACGGCUAAACCCUAACUCUAAACAGUGGGAAGGGGCCGAGCCAUACUACACUCCCCUGAAAGCGGUAACGCCAGCUUAAAAACCACAUGUAGCCCUCCGAGUGGAUUGAAUGUUUUUUUUUUUUGCUUUCGAUGCCAUAGAGGUGUGAAAAGGAUUUAUAGGUACCGGUUUUAAUAGUUCCGUCACCUAUAGUGUCGAUCUAUAUGUGUUUUUUUAAGUAGUGGAGUAAAAUAACCAAGCGACCAUACCGAGUAAGGAUUAUAAGUUCGCAUAUCUGAACUAAUCAUCUCCCUGCUCCGGCACAACGGAGAUGAGAGCGCUACACAUGAUGAUUGCACUAUCUUAUUCCAUUUUAAUCAUAUCAUUCUGGGAAAAGCAUGCAUUUGAUGGUCCGAUUUCGUACGAGGCUAGGAGCCUAGGAGAACGGCAUUUCGGCAACGCCACGUACGCCGUCGCGUAAUUAAGUGCACGGUGGUGUGGAACACGAGCUAACGUCGCGGCAAUUAUUUCCUCUGUUUGCUCUUGCUGAUAUGCAAGCGAGUAAUACUCUCUCCGUCCCAAAAUAAGUACAGUUUUAGCACUAUUUAUAUCCAAUAUUUGACCGUUCGUCUUAUUUGAAAAAAGAUUAUGAUUAGUAUUUUUAUUGUUAUUAGAUGAUAAAACAUGAAUAGUACUUUAUAUGUGACUAAUUUGUUUAAUAUUUUCUAUAAAUUUUUCAAAUAAGACGAAUGGUUAAAACACUGAACACGGAUAUCUAUGGCAACACUUAUUUUGGAAUGGAGGUAUUACAACGACUACUAGCAUCCGGCAACAGGGACGUAACCUAGCUCUGAUGAUGCAGCACCUGCACCGCCAGUAGGAACAAUAAUCGUAUGAUGUGAAGCUUUACUGUUAGUUCGUACCAAUUAUCAUCGUUUUUUAACACAUCAGCAGUGGGAGGAAGAUAUGACAGCUGAAGUGAUCAUCAAGUUUGUCCAGUCACGAGAAAUCAACAGACGCUCCCUUAAAAGAAAAAAAAAUCAACAGAGGCGUCGUUACGAUUGGCUGAAGGCAUGAUCAUCCUAACUAGUAGGUGAUACCCUAAGCUUUGCCGUGUGAUUCAUGGAUAAGUAUAUAUUAAAUAUUAUCAAAAUGAUGAAAGUUGAAAUGUUAAAAAAAUAAUGUGAGGAAGAUGAUUUGACACAUAUUUGUUGAUUUCUAAAAUAUAUACUCCCUCCGUCCCACAAAAUCACGAAUCCUGGAGGGGGAGGUUUGUCAAAAAAAACUCUCUCCUAUCAUUUUGACCACAGAAACCUUAUCUCCUCGGCUUUUCUCGUCUCGUUCUCUUCUCCCUAAAUCGCAUCGCUCUCUCUUCCCCCAAAUCACGCCCAGAUGCGACCUCCUGCCUCCACGCCUUCCUCCCCGCAAAUCCCUCCCCUCUCCACGCCGCUCCCCCUCACUCCCUCCCUGCCUUCCUCCCCGCACAUCCCUCCUGCUCAACGCGGCGGCGGCGGCUGGCGGGGGAGGCGACGAGCGGACGCCGGUGUUCUUGCGUACAUGUGGCCUCGGCGGCAGCGGUGACGAGCGGACAAGGCAUUGGCGGCGACAAGCGGACGCGGCCUCGUCGGCGGCGGCGACCGGCGAACACGGCGGCGGCGGCGACGAGCGGACACGGCCUCGUCGGGGUUCUUGCUAGUUCAUUCGUUAGGGUUGUUGCUAGUUCUUGUAGUAUCUUUUUUUCUCUAUUCUUGGCUCUGUUCUUCAUUGACAGCUGCGAGGCUCCACCAGUCCACCUCCCCACACCUCCCUCCAUUGUGUUGAAGGCUUUGCUACGCGACGGCGGCGGUGGAGCCUUGCAUGCGUGUGGUAUGCUGGUAUGUGGCCGAUGCUUGCUUUGCAUGCUGAUGGAUGUGGCUUGCUCGGAUGCAGCUAUUAUGGUGGAAGGGGAUUGACGAUGGGAAGGACAGCCACAAGGAAAUUCAUGCUUGUCUUUUUUUUACCGUUAAUUAAUGGUUGUACUUUGUACUUUGGUGAGAGCAUACUAGUCUUUUGUCACUGCUGCUAAAGUCACCUUGGGCUUCUAGGAAUCGUGAUUUUAUGGGACGGAGGGAGUAUAUUAUAGAUGAUGUGUCAUGCACUCAUGCUUGCAUGGGAUUUAAAAUAUGCUAGAAUUAGUAAUUGCUAGUAAGUGAAGAUGUGGCAUGUUGUUUGCAUAGGAUUUUAAAUGAGAUAGAAUAGUAAUUGCUAGUGGGUGAUGAUGUGGCAUGCUUGCAUGUUGAGUUUUAGCUUCUAAUAGUUGUUAGUGGGUAUCAACUAUAUAGAAAGUAUAGAUUUAUGGAACAGUGACAAUCGAGGCUCAGAUAAUUGUCAUUGCGCAAUGUGCCACGUGGACAUGAUGAAAAAAUGAUACGAUACAUAACCGGUUACGAAUUAGGACUUACGAAUUAGGACUUAGAGUUGUAAUAGGUAUAAAACAAUAGUUGAGUCGGAUUUCGUCUUAGGGUCUCUCUUAAAUAGAGAAACACACAUGUUAUAACCAUGUGAUGAUAGUAGUAUAAGUGAGGGAUGACCGGCCUAUGACCUUGCCAGUCGAUAGUGGUAGAUAUCUUGUUACGCUGUAAUUAUGCUAGAUUGGGAACUAGCGCACUUAAUCAGUACUUCGGGGACGUAGACUUUGGUUGCACCCCAUUAACAAAUAUUGACUCAGUCAUUAUUGUGUUUGGAUCUUCUAUGACGUUCUUUUGUGUUUGCUUGCAUAUAUGAUGUCGGGCUGGUUUUAUAUCCAGUGGAACAGAGCCGGUAGUAUAUCCAUGUAUAGGUAAUGAGCCGAGCUGGCUCGGCUCGUGAAAGCUUGGUGUAAGGGAAGCUCAGCUUGGCUUGGCUCGCUACAAACAACGAGUUAAAACUGUAGCUCGGAUUGGCUCGUUAAUGGGCUCGAGCCAACUCGAGCUGGCUCGCGAACCUGGCAUCAAGUAAAUCUUAAGUAGGGUCUAAGAGAAAUCGAGCAACAUUUUACCAUAUAGAAUGUGUAAUAAAGUGAUAUUUUUCUUUAACAUGUCAUCACAACACAUAAAAUAGAUAAUAUGACAAUCAAAGUUAUCAUUUUCAACAAAUAAAUAGUAAGAAAAGGUGCAAAAUUUUGUAUGACUCUAUUGUACUGAGCCAACGAAGCUCGCAAGCAGCUCGUGAGCCAGCUCGGGCUUGGCUCAUUUUGGAAACGAGCUAGAAAGGAUGCUUGGGAUCGGCUCGUUUGGCUUUCGAGCCGAGCCGAGCUAUGCGAGCCCGAACUAAGCCUGAGCUGAGCUAACGAUCUCAAGCUUCUUGUCCAUCCCUAUCCAUGUAUAAAGGUACGAGGAAGGUGCCCCACAUUGCAACUGUCGAAGAAGCGGGAAUGAGGGUUCCCACUUCAUCGGAUGUCUCGUCGUUGGUCAGACAUGACAUUCAACAUUGAUUGGAACUGGAUGAUCGGUGAAGUCGAACAGUCUAGGCGGGGUGGCUAUUGACGCAAAAUCCGUUCCAACACGCAAAGGCUAAGAGAUUUGUUUGACUAUAGUGCACGUCCUUAAUAUUGGGUUCAGGGCGUGCUAGUUGGAAGUUGCUUCCCCUGAAGUAUUUUUUUCCCCUUGAUUUUCCAACUGCGUGUGCAAUUUUGACCAUGAUGCAAGCAAAGUGCAAACAAAGUGUAUUAGAAACACAUAAUUUUCUGGUAGUUCGUUUUGGAAACAGGAUUUGCUUCUUGUCUUCCAAAUUGCCAACAGAACAGACAAACAAAUGCAGAUGUAAAUGCAGAUAAUCGCUGCAUGAGUUUGGGUUUGGCAUGCAUGAUGCAUCCAUAUGAACCUGAACAUUCAGGACAAAAGAAGGGCAAAUUGUGCCAUUAAUCUCAGAAUCUAAAACAGGAUUCAGAUUGCAAUCAGCUUACCGGUUCCCGUACGUUUGCAUAAUUGCAUGUACCGACAAGUUCACCAAUUUUGCGUACGCAGGGCGUGAGCCUGAAUUUCAUAUCACUAGCCGAGGGGAUCACCAUGCAUGCCAGGGUGUUCUUCCUGCACGGUAGCGUGUCGUCCGUCGCGUGGGUGUUCGUGUACCUGCGGUCGCCGGUGACGAGAGGCCAAGGCAGGAAUGCAGGAUGCGGCGCGCUCCGGUGAGUCAUGCGGUGGUGGGGUUCGGAGAAUAAAACUCCGAAUCCCUUCGAAUCUCUUGGCUACCGUGAUUCGCGGCCUGCGCGGUCCAGACGAGCUGAACUGCGCCCCGAUGCAGUGUAACAAGCGAUGGCUAGUGACUAGAGUAGUGUGUCCACGUCCACCGACGUUGUUCAGGGAUUUCGCACAACGCACAUCGAACAUUUUCAGGGACAAGGUGGCAUCACCUUCACUCCUUCAGGCUCCAAUGCUCCAUGGGUGCAGCCAUGCAACUCUAACCCUAUACCACUAUUCGGGAAAUUCUGAAUCUCUUCGGUAGUAAUAAAUUCUUUGAUUAAAAAAUGCGUAAGAAAGCUGCAGGUUAUGCUCGUUUUGCUUAUCCGUUAAUUGACCUUUGGUUUGAUCAGGGUCGCAUCGUUGUUCUGAACUUCUGGUGCAGUUUGCCUGCAUUGUUGCGCGCGGUUUUAUUAGUUUUUUUUUUUUUGAGGGGCAAAGGGCAGGAACUCUGCCAAUUUCAUUUCAGGAGAAAAGAGAUAGAGUUUAUACAAUCAUUUUAUUAGUUAAUUAGUUUCGUUAAUAAGAACAGUUCAUGUCAGUUUGAGUAAUCGUGGGAUCAGAUUUUAGUUGAUGCUGUUUUCUGGCCAAUAUGCAUUUGCUUCAUGUUGCUGUUCCUAUCUGCUUGCUCAAGGAUGCUAAAGUUGAUAUAUCGGAGAAAUGUUUAGUAGCAGGCUUAAGCCAUGCCAAAUUCAAUCGUUAUUCGUUAGUACUACACAAGUAAAUAACGACGUCAAAGAGGGAGGUACAUGAAAUUCUUUAUCUACCUACAAAGUAAAAAACCACAUGAGAGAGACAAGUGUGUGAAUUCAUAUCUAUCAUACAAAGAGAUCUAGGUUGCAUUUCUUCAUAUAGAUCCUGUCUCAUCCUGGGUAGUUGUAACGCAAACUUUCCAACGAAUCAAACCAGAGCACGGCUCGAUCUGGCUGAUGCAUGUGUGACAUCGAAUCCCCGGAAACAAAGACGAUCGUUUUUACUACUGUUCUAUCUCUUCAUCUAGUUUAAUUAAUGCCCUGUAUAUUCGAUCGUGCAUCCAUGUAUCAGUGGGCUCAGUUAAACAAAGCAGACGCAGGCAUGCAGGAGAUGAAAACGAGCAACGCACCCUCGUGCUGCCCGAAAGACAGUGUACUCUCCACACUGGCAUGACUCAUUUCUACGGGUGAAAACAGAGCGGAUUCAGACGAAUAAUGGUCAUACCAUAUCCUAAACCAGGAUUCAGAGUGGGUGCGGAUAGGAUACGGAUGCGCAUGCGGAGCGGAUUAUUUCGGAUGUCGGAAAUAGUGCGGAAUCAGUUCGAAAAAGAUUAAAUUUAUCGGAUAUUACAUGUGUAUACAAUCAAUACAAUAUUAAGUUAGCAAUGCAAGAAACAAUAAUACAAUAAUCAAUAAACGAUCCAUCAUACUAAUUAUGUGCUUAAGUGUUAAACAAUAUGAAUACAUGAUGUCCAUAAUAUAAAAAUACAGCUACGCAAGUAUGCCAUGAGAAGGUGAAAGCCUCAGACUAAGAAAUCUAUGCUAAUUGAUAAAUUAGUGCAUUCGAUAGACCAACUUAUGUUAUAUGCAAUAGAUAGAGUGAUUACAUGUGUUGAUAAAUUCGAAUUAUCCGGCAAACGGCCAAUCGGAUAAUCCGAUAGAAAUGUCGGAUAAUCUGCAUCCACCGGAUUUUAGAGAUACCAUAUCCUCAUCCGCAUCCGCAUUAUACUAUCCUCAUCCGCAUUCAUAUCCGCCGGAUUUCCAAAAGCCCAUACCAUAUCCUCGUUUCGAACGGAUUCAGAGUGGAUCGGAUCUAUCCGAUCGGUUUUCACUCCUACUCAUUUCACACAAGAUGAGGCCAUCACCUUGCAUAACCGAUUUUACACAAGCUAGAUGAGGCCAUGAUCUCCUCUAUAUAAGAGGCCAUGCAGUCUGUGGCUUCAUCACUCACCAGCUACGUACACUCAACCAACACACCACUGAAAAGCAAGAUUUUGUUGAAGAAAUAAGCAUCUUGCCAUGAUCGCAGCAAGGGCUGCAAACCUGCAGGUGGCCAUGAAGGCCCUGGCGCUGGCCGUGCUGGCCCUCGCCUACGCCGCGGCGACGGCGCGCGCCGAGCAGUGCGGCAGGCAGGCCGGCGGCGCCCGGUGCCCCAACAGGCUCUGCUGCAGCAGGUGGGGGUGGUGCGGCCUCACCGACGACUACUGCAAGGGCGGCUGCCAGAGCCAGUGCCGCGUCUCCCGCGACGGCGGCGACGACGACGUCGCCGCGGUGCUGCUCACGGCGCCGGGCGGCGGCCGCGCCGGCGUGGCGUCCGUCGUGACGUCGGACCAGUUCGAGCGCAUGCUGCCCCACCGCGACGACGCGGCGUGCCCCGCCCGCGGGUUCUACGCCUACCGCGCCUUCGUCGCCGCGGCCGGCGCGUUCCCGGCCUUCGCCGCCACGGGCGACGCCGACACCCGCAAGCGUGAGGUCGCCGCGUUCCUGGCCCAGACUUCCCACGCGACCUCUGGUAACGUAGUAACGUUUACUUGUCACGUUGGAACUCACGUGUACGUACACAUGUCUUAUGCACGAGUGCGCAUGUGUCCCUGCAGGUGGGCCCUACUCGUGGGGCUACUGCUACAAGGAGGUGAAGGGCGCGACGUCAGACUUCUGCGUGCCGAACGCGCGCUGGCCGUGCGCGCCCGGCAAGGCGUACCACGCCCGCGGACCCAUGCAAAUCGCAUAGUAAGAGAACGCAAAGGAGCAAACCAAAACGUCCAUAUAAAUGAACUUGCAAACAAAAAAUCCACAAAAUGGACGAACACUAGAAAAAUCUUAAAAUGCAACGGGAUUUCAUCCGUGAAACGUUCAAUUUCGAGACUAGUACUAUUUGGACUGAACAAAUGACAAACUACUGGAAUCUAAUUUUCAAAUUCAAUUUCAGCAACUACAACUAUGGGGCGGCCGGCGAGGCGAUCGGCGCGGACCUGCUGGGCAACCCGGAGCUGGUGGCAACGGACCCGACGGUGGCGUUCAAGACGGCGCUGUGGCUGUGGAUGACCGCGCGGUCGCCGAGCCAGCCGUCGCCGCACGCCGUCGUCACGGGGCAGUGGACUCCGACUCCCGCGGACAGCGCGGCCGGCCGCGCGCCAGGCUACGGGCUCACCACGAACAUCCUCACCGGCGGGCUCCAGUGCGCCGGCGGCAACGGCGGCGCCGACCGGGUCGCGUUCUACAAGCGCUACUGCGACGUGCUCGGCGUCGGCUACGGGCCCAACCUGGACUGCUUCGG
rnacentral:lncRNA from 1 species